AUUGAACGCUGGCGGCAGGCCUAACACAUGCAAGUCGAACGAGUGGCGGACGGGUGAGUAAUGUCUGGGAAACUGCCUGAUGGAGGGGGAUAACUACUGGAAACGGUAUCUAAUACCGCAUACCAUCGGAUUUGCCCAGAUGGGAUUAGCUAGUAGGUGGGGUAAAGGCUCACCUAGGCGACGAUCCCUAGCUGGUCUGAGAGGAUGACCAGCCACACUGGAACGGAGAAACGGUCCAGAUGCCUACGGGAGGCAGCAGUGGGGAAUAUUGGACAAUGGGCGAAAGCCUGAUACAGCAAGGCCGCGGGUAUGAAGAAGGCCUUCGGGUGGUAAAGUACUUUCAGCGGGGAGGCGGUACCCGAAGAAGAAGCACCGGCUAACUCCGUGCCAGCAGCCGCGGUAAUAC
rnacentral:rRNA from 1 species